UACCAGCUCUUCGAGUGGUGUGGAUGUUUAUUGGGCCUAAAGCAUCCGUAGCUGGCUGGGCAAGUCCCCUGUUAAAUCCACCGAUUUAAUCGUUGGAGUGCGGGGGAUACUGUUCGGCUAGGGGACGGGAGAGGCAGACGGUAUUUUCGGGGUAGGGGUGAAAUCCUAUAAUCCCGGGAAGACCACCAGUGGCGAAGGCUGUCUGCUAGAACGCGCCCGACGGUGAGGGAUGAAAGCUGGGGGGAGCGAACCGGAUUAGAUACCCGGGUAGUCCCAGCUGUAAACGAUGCAGGCUAGGUGUUUGGGCGGCCACGUGCCGCUCUAGUGCCGCAGGGAAGCCGUUAAGCCUGCCGCCUGGGGAGUACGGCCGCAAGGCUGAAACUUAAGGAAUUGGCGGGGGAGCACCACAAGGGGUGAAGCUUGCGGUUU
rnacentral:rRNA from 1 species